UACGCCUGUAGACCACAAUGACACGGUGGUCCAUUGCAUUCUUUGAAAGUCGUCAAAAUACAUGAAACCGCAAUUGCCCCCAUUUUUUUAUUUCAUAAUGAUAAUAUUUAAUGACUUCUGUACUCUGAACUUGAAAUGUCUCUGCUUUUUAUUUCAGAAAUCUGGUCACCUUACCUGAGAUGAAAUGGAAAUAACAACUGCGUGUUUUCCCUGGCUGUUUUUAAUUAAUGUAGUUUGUGAAUGUUACUGAGCACUUUAUUGGACUUCAGAAGUAAUGUGAAUGAGUGAGGGGCUUAAUUUAAGUUGCACUUUUCUUCAUCUCAACAGUGUUCACUGCAGCUAGAUGGGCAAAUGACUCCCUCCUGUGAUGGAAUCAAGUGGAUUCAGCAUUCAAGAUUCAGAUUUGAAGUUCAAGAUCCACAUUUACAGUUUCACACUGCAUGUUUGAUACCAACCUUCUGUUCCAUUUUCCUUUUGAAUUAAAGCUUCCUUUUCUCUUC